rnacentral:rRNA from 1 species
GAUGAACGCUGGCGGCGUGCCUAAUACAUGCAAGUCGAGCGAACAGACGCGGAGCUUGCUCCUCUGACGUUAGCGGCGGACGGGUGAGUAACACGUGGAUAACCUACCUAUAAGACUGGGAUAACUUCGGGAAACCGGAGCUAAUACCGGAUAAUAUAUUGAACCGCAUGGUUCAAUAGUGAAAGACGGUUUUGCUGUCACUUAUAGAUGGAUCCGCGCUGCAUUAGCUAGUUGGUAAGGUAACGGCUUACCAAGGCAACGAUGCGUAGCCGACCUGAGAGAGUGAUCGGCCACACUGGAACGUAGACGCGGUCAAGACGCCUACGAGAGGCAGCAGUAGGGAAUCUUCCGCAAUAGGCGAAAGCAUGACGGAGCAACGCCGCGUGAGUGAUGAAGGUCUUCGGAUCGUAAAACUCUGUUAUUAGGGAAGAACAAAUGUGUAAGUAACUAUGCACGUCUUGACGGUACCUAAUCAGAAAGCCACGGCUAACUACGUG